GGGGGUUUGCGAGCACCCCGUGAGGCGACAGCCCAAGAUUCGC
rnacentral:ncRNA from 1 species